rnacentral:rRNA from 1 species
UGAGACACGAUCCAAACUUAUACGGGAGGCAGCAGUGAGGAAUAUUGGACAAUGGGCGCAAUCCUGAUCCACCCAUGCCGCGUGCAGGAAGACUGCCCUAUGGGUUGUAAACUGCUUUUAUAUAGGAAGAAACCAUUCUACGUGUAGAGUGCUGACGGUACUAUAAGAAUAAGCAUCGGCUAACUCCGUGCCAGCAGCCGCGGUAAUACGGAGGAUGCAAGCUUUAUCCGGAAUCAUUGGUUUUAAAGGGUCCGUAGGUGGAUAA